AUGCCAUGGUGUGGGCAUGUUGCAAUGUAAUCCUCGAGACGUUCCUAGGCUUCCGGGGUUAUCUCAUCCUGCAGUUGUUGAAAACUGGAAAUCCUGUUCCGAAGGAC